UAAAUAAAUUUUAUAUGGUUUAAUUAAAUUUAUUUUGUAUUUAUUUUACAUAUAAAUUUUAGUAUGAAUAAUUCUUUAUUUUAAUAAUAUUAAUUAUGUUUGUAGUAAUUAAUAUUAAAUAUUUAAGAAAUUAAGAUUUAGUAAUAUAUAAAUUAUUAACAAAUUUUGUGCCAGCAGUUGCGGUUAUACAAAAAUUAAAUUAAAUUUUUUUAGUAAUUAAUAAUUAAUUUAAAAACUUAUUUAAAUUAAAAUUAAAAUUAUUAAGUGAAAUUUUAAUUUUAUAUUAUUUUAUUUUUAUUAAUAUGAUUUAAUAAAUUUUAUUAAUAAACUAGGAUUAGAUACCCUAUUAUUAAAAAUUUAAAUUUAUAAUACUAAAAUAGUAUGUAAUUUUAUUGAAACUUAAAUAUUUUGGCGGUAUUUUAGUUUAUUUAGAGGAAUCUGUUUAUUAAUUGAUAUUCCACGAAUAAAUUUACUUAAUUUAUUAUUUUGUAUAUCGUUGUUAAAAAAAUAUUUUUUAAUAAUUUAUAUAAUAUUUUAAUAUUAAUAUUUAAAAUUAAAUCAAAUCAAGAUGCAGAUUAUAAUUAAGAAUAUAAUGGAUUACAAUAAAUUUAUUUAAAUGAAUUGUUAUUUUGUAAAAUUUAAUUGAAAGUGGAUUUAAAUGUAAUUUUGUUUAAUUUAGUAAAAUGAUUAAAAUUUAAAAUAUGUACAUAUUGCCCGUCGCUUUCAUAAAUAAAUUGGAAUAAGUCGUAACAAAGUAGAGGUACUGGAAAGUGUUUCUAGAAAGAU
rnacentral:ncRNA from 1 species